rnacentral:lncRNA from 1 species
CAAGAUGUGUUGAUGCAGACUCUUCCCUCCCACUGAUGCAGGGAACAGAACACGUCGCAUCAAUUCUGCAUACACAUCCUGACGAUCCAUCGCCUACCAGAUCCUUUUUCAAGCCUCCUUAUUCAAUCCGUCAGUUCUUUAAAAGGCUCUGCCUGAUAUACUUCCCCCUGCUGUUUCAGAAGUUUCCUUCUGUCAGCCAAUGUAUACACUGGGAAAGAACUUGACCUACUUGACCUACAUCUGUUGAGAGUAAAGAUGGACAAAGCCCACAGAGAUAAAACAGUGAAGGAUUCCAUCCUCUUUGAGAUGCACUCAGGUACACAAUUGUUGUGUGGUGUGUGGUGUGAAUGGUACUUCUGAAGUAAACAAAUAGAAAAGAAUAGCAGAAUAAGGAUAUUUGAUUACAUAGAAAUGUUUAGCCGGAUGCAAAUCUGUAUCUGUUUUAUAACAUCUGCAUUUUUGAAAUGUUUUUAGAUUUAUUUAUUUUUUUUUUUUGCGUUCCUUAUAAUCUUGGCAUCAAGUGAAUGUAUGAAAUUGCUUUGUUAUUGCUAUUGAGUUUUAAAAAAUGUUUAUUUAGCAGACAUAAUCUACAAAAAAU